UUUUGGACAAUGGGCGCAAGCCUGAUCCAGCAAUGCCGCGUGCAGGAUGAAGGCCUUCGGGUUGUAAACUGCUUUUGUACGGAACGAAACGGUCCUUUCUAAUACAAGGGGCUAAUGACGGUACCGUAAGAAUAAGCACCGGCUAACUACGUGCCAGCAGCCGCGGUAAUACGUAGGGUGCGAGCGUUAAUCGGAAUUACUGGGCGUAAGGCGUGCGCAGGCGGUUAUAUAAGACAGAUGUGAAAUCCCCGGGCUCAACCUGGGACCUGCAUUUGUGACUGUAUAGCUAGAGUGCGGCAGAGGGGGAUGGAAUUCCGCGUGUAGCAGUGAAAUGCGUAGAUAUGCGGAGGAACACCGAUGGCGAAGGCAAUCCCCUGGGCCUGCACUGACGCUCAUGCACGAAA
rnacentral:rRNA from 1 species